rnacentral:RNase_P_RNA from 1 species
GCAGCAGGCUGUUCCAUCGCCUUUUCUUAAUGAAUAGGAGGAAAGUCCGGCCAACAAAGAGCACCAUACUUCCUAACGGGAAGAUAUCUGUAAAGGUAUAGUAGUGUAACAGAAAAUAACCGUCCCGAUUUUGUCGGGAUAAGGGUGAAAAGGUGAGGUAAGAGCUUACCGGUCCGGGUGGCAACAUCAGGAGCCGUACACCUUAUGGGUUGAAAGACCAUGUAUACCGGCUACCAGGGCUGCUCGUCCAAUGCCGGGGGGUAGGUCGUACGAAUCCUGUAGUGAUACAGGAUCAAGAUAAAUGAUGGAAACCGGUUUUAAUUUCUUUCGCAGAAAACAAAACCGUACUGAAUCCGGCUUACAGGCCAGCUGCAAAU